rnacentral:piRNA from 1 species
UUAUUGAUGCUGCCUUCCUGGAGAGG